AAAGCUUAUGCUCUAAUAAAUUUGUUAGUCUCUAAGGUGCCACAAGUACUCCUUUUCUUUUUUCAUUCAGGGGACUGCUGCUGUUCCUGACAUGACAACUACAGGUGAUGAAGUCUCACAUGUAAACUCCUGGGCCAAAAUGUGCAGAAGUGACUUUAUGAUCAUGUUUAUUAUGGUAGUGCCUAGCGACCAGCCAAGAUCAGAGCCCUGUUGUGCCAGGUGCUGUAAAACCAAAGAGUAGGAGACAGUCCCUGCCCCGACAAGUUUACAGUCUAAAUAGAUGGGAUAGAUGAAGGGCGGGAAAAGGGUUAGAGCUCCCGCAGCCGCAUGAACAAAGCAAUGAUGGCAAAUACUUGAGCGCCAUGGAGGUGGGGAUGCAAGUGAGGAGGGGAGUAGCUCAAUGGGAAGACGAGGAACUGGAGUGGGUGAGGGGCUCAGAGCAGGGCAGAAGAGGUGUGAGAGGACGGUAUCGGGGUCAGGUGUGGCAUGAGGCUGAGAGUAUGAGAUAAAGGCCUAAAGGGCAUUGCAGCAAACAGCCAAUCAGUCCAGGGGAGAGGAAGUCCAGUCAAAACUGCGGAAGGUAUGAUCAGGGUCCGUCAGUUCCUGCCUAAGCUGCUCUGCCGCUUCUCUGCAGAUUCAGGACUCGUCUGCGCUCAUAGAGCUGCCCCGGCACACCUGUAGCACUGCGUGAAGACGCUACCUAUGCCAACCAGAGAGCUUGUCUUGUCAGCGUAGGGACUCCACCUCCCCCAGAGACAGUAGGUCCGUUGGCAGGAGAUGCUCUCCCAGUUCCAUGGACGUUGCGCUGUCUAUACUGGGGGUUAGGUCCGUAGUUAUACCCACGUAAGUAGGGGGUGUAGACCAGGGCUCAGUCUCUGGCUGGCUCCUCCCCACAGUUCCUAAUGACUAACGUAAUAACGUUAUUAAUGCCUCGCUUUCAAAGGGCGCAGCUCAAAGCAGCUAAGUCAUUAUUGUCAUAGACAUUCCCAAAUGGAAACGUCCCAGAAUGGUGUUCUGCACGCUCAGAGAGCCAGAGCUCACCUAACCCAUGCACUUUGUGUGGAGUCUCCUUGUGAGCAUGUUGUACCUGGGUUCAGGAAAAAAGUGAGACCCGAGGAAGCCAAUUUCCAAAACCAUCUGAUUUGUUUUUCCAAAAUAUUUGUAAGUGCCUGACUCCCACACAGCUCCCCACAAUGCAGGAAAUGCAAAGCCCUCCUACACUUUAGUUUGGAUCGUCUGGUGUUUUUACUGAAGCUAAAUAUUUAGCAGAUGUUUUUCUUCCUCAUUAAACACAAGUCUCUGACACCACCUUAACUAUGGCACAAGCUUAGAAGGGUUCAGCCAAGGAACUGGGAGAUGUGAAAGGAGAGGAGUUGUCCAAGAGACAAUGAGAGAUUCAGAAUAAGUCAAGCCCAGAAGGCUUGAGGACCUGAGCUGGGUGCAUGGGUAGCUCCAUGAAAGAUGCAGUUCAGUGCUGAUCCAUGAAAAGGAAUGCACGUUGGAAGGGAAAGUUUGAACUAUUCAAACACCUUCCUGGGCUCUAAAUUAACUGCAGCUGCUCAGGGAAGAGAUCUGGCAUUACUGGCAGCAGCUCAAUGACGACUCUUCAUAGCAUGUAACCAUGAUCCUAAAAGCCAACACAAUGGGAUGGAGACUAACAUGGAGAAUGUUCUAAUGUUACAGGCAUUGAUGGUGCAGGCUCUUCUGUAUAUGAUAUUCAGAUUUGGUCACUCAGUCUCGAAGAGGAGACACAGAACUAGGGGGGGUUCAGACAUGGGCCUCAAGAAUGAUUAGGGGCAUGGAAAGAAAGCUUGAUCAGACCUGAAAUGUUUAGUGGGGAGAGGAUAUGCCACUCGCAACCAGCCUGUGGGUCAUACCCUGAGUAUCUGUGUGCUAGACAGCCCUGGUUCAGCAACUCUGACCCCAGCAGCCUGUCUACAGCCCCACUCUGGCUUCCACCUGUCUUCGUUACUAUUUGGUGACCCCAACAUAUUCCCAGUUCCAGAUUUUCCCAUUGAAGCGUGUUCUGCCCUAGCCAGCCCUCUCCUGGACAAGUCAGCUAGUAAGGUUCGUUGCCCCUGUAGAGUGUCAAUAUUCAACAAUUGGUUACUUGAAACUGAACUGUUUGGUAACUCCAGUUAUGCACAGCACUGGAUUAGUUUUUGUUUAAAAAUAAAACACAUUUAUUAACACAAGAUGAUAGGAUUGUAAGUGAAUUCAAGUAUAAGAGAUGAAGUUAGAAAGGGUUACAAGGGUAAGCAGAGUCUGAAUGAGCUCUCCCCAGACUCUAGUGGUGAGCUGUGGAAAAGGACUUCAGGAGCUGAUCUCGUUUGCAUGGGGUGCUCAGCAUGAUGGGAUUGAUUGCCCAAAUGGUCACUUUUGGCUGGUGUGAGAUCCCCAGUCUCCUUGCUGUUGGGGCAGGAGUAAUAUAGGGUUGUUAUCUUUGUUAUGUGAACCAAGGGCAGCAGAACUGUACUUGGUGUUUCCUGAUUGAGGGACUCACCCUCAACUAAAUGGCACUUGCUAGGUAGGGGACAUGGGUUCUGAAACCCAGUGAGGUGAGAGACAGGUGUGUGUAUUUAGCUCUUGUGGCUGCUAACUCUGAGUAGCAGAAUGGUUACACAAGUAAAUAAAAGUGAUGGCCUUUCUCUCUCACAGUCUUCUAACAAGAUGGUGACCCUCUUCUCAGCCAGGAUCUCUGCCAGAGGCCCAAGGUAUCAUCCUGGGUGAAAGAGUUGACUUGUGAUUCUCUGUUCCUUUUUUUUUAUAGUUCAGUGAACCUUUGAAGUGGAUUCUUCUGAGGGUGACCUUCAAAGCCAAGUUUAUUCAAGCAGUGAAGAAGGCACAUGGAAUCUCAGGGUGAAAGAGGCUCGGUGCACACAAGUUUCUAAAUUUGGGAUAGGCCUGUUUAAUAACUUUUGCCUAGGCAGGGCUGGGUGGGUUUUGAACAUGUGCUAAUAUCAUACAGGGGGAAUUCAUAACUUUACGCAUACUGUUGCUAUGCACAUAUCACCACGAUGUCAUUGUCCAGGGAAUUAUUCAUUUUCAGAUGCUCUCUCAUAAGGCAUAUUUUGUACAAAGAUGAUUACACUAGCGUGCAGGGUAUGAAGACGGGGGAGCUUUGGGCCACACCCUCAGUUCUUGCUGUCCCAGGAUUACAUUAGACUCUCUAGUUUUCGCUUCUUUUUCAAAACAGGAUUCUCCUGCCCUAACCCUGUGUCCUUGCUGCAGUGAUGACUCCCUGGGUCUCAAGACAGCUUGAAACAACCAUUCGGAGGGGACUGAUAUGCCUCAGGCUCUUCAGCAGGGUGUUAACGCCAAGGCCUAUCACUCUGGAUGUGCCGCAUAAGCAGGCACAGCCCAGUUGUUAAAGAAAAACUCUGAAAACACGCUUUAAUGCAUGUCCCCUAGAAAGCCAUCGGACUUGAGUGUUGAAAAGCAGAACUUCAUAUUCACCACCCAUUUCAUUGCAGAGCUCUCGAAAGAGACGACUAUUCAGAGCAUGAGCUUUAACAUAGUUCACUGCUCAUAGAACUAUAUCUACCACAGCAUUAAGGCAUAUUGGCAAUGUCUUUGCAGCUAGGACUUGAGAAUGGAUUCCACAAUGUGUGACAAUCACAUUAGGUGAGAGACACUUUACCUUCUGCCGAAAGCCAGACCGUGCACCUGUCAUUGUUGGAACACCAUCAGUACAGAUACCACAAAGAUUUUUUCCAUUCAAUGCCAUUGCUUUCGAAAAAGGCAUUCACCUUACUGAAAAUGGCCUUUGCUGUUGUGGUUGUUUCAAGUUGUUCACAGACUCAGAACUCAUCCUUAACACCCCCGGCAUUAACAUACCGUAUGGAUGCUACCAGUUGUGUGCAGCGGGUAACAUCAGUGGUUUCAUCAAGUUGCAGGCUGAACAUACUAAAAGCAGAAUGUUUAAUUUCGUGCACAACUUGUUUUUUGGUGUCUUCAUGUCUCGUGUAUUCUGCCGUUCAUAGUGUCAUUAGGCAGGGAGAGCAUAUUCCAGUUUUUUGGCAAUCAUUGCCAACCAUGAGUGCCACAAUCUCUUUGCCUGCUGGCAGAAUAAGCUCCUCACCUGCUGCACACAGUGCUUUGGUAUGGGCAACUCAUAGUGACACGGUGUAAGAGGUCUCCACAGCUGAGGACAUUGCUGUUGGAAACUUCCAUCAGAAUCAGACCCAGCCACCUUUGUUGCUGCUUCUCUGCGUUUGAAAAAAUCCACGUUUCGAUCUUUAUGCUCAGGAUGUCUAGUUUCAAGAUGUCGCUGCCAUUUGCAUGGUGUCAUUGACUCAGCAGACAAGUCUUCACAGCAAAUGACACAUGGCGGUUUUUCAGUCCCAGAGCUGAUGACACUGGGGAAAACCCAGUUUAAUGGAAGACUUGAGAUAUUUUCGUUUUUUAGCAGUUUCAGCAGCACAAGUGGCCAUUAUUUUCAGGAGAAACUUUGCACUUGUGUGUUUGUCUGACUGUUAAUUAAUAAAGUACUUGUUCAGCUCCGAA